GGACUACCGGGGUUUCUAAUCCUGUUUGCUCCCCACGCUUUCGCGCCUCAGCGUCAGUUGCAGGCCAGCGAGCUGCCUUCGCCAUGGGUGUUCCGAUCGAUAUCUACGCAUUUCACCGCUACACCGACCAUUCCACUCGCCUCUCCCGCACUCAAGGCCCCCAGUAUGAAAGGCAGUGUUGGGGUUGAGCCCCAACCUUUCACCACUCACUUAAAGACCCGCCUACGCGCUCUUUACGCCCAGUAACUUCGGACAACGCUCGCCCCCUACGUAUUACCGCGGCUGCUGGCAC
rnacentral:rRNA from 1 species